GAUGAACGCUGGCGGCGUGCCUAAUACAUGCAAGUCGAGCGAACAUACGAGGAGCUUGCUCCUCUGACGUUAGCGGCGGACGGGUGAGUAACACGUGGAUAACCUACCUAUAAGACUGGGAUAACUUCGGGAAACCGGAGCUAAUACCGGAUAAUAUAUUGAACCGCAUGGUUCAAUAGUGAAAGACGGUUUUGCUGUCACUUAUAGAUGGAUCCGCGCCGCAUUAGCUAGUUGGUAAGGUAACGGCUUACCACGGCGACGAUGCGUAGCCGACCUGAGAGGGUGAUCGGCCACACGGGAACUGAGACACGGUCCAGACUACUACGGGAGGCAGCAGAAGGGAAUCGUCCGCAAUGGGCGAAAGCCUGACGGAGCAACGCCGCGUGAGUGAUGAAGGUCUUCGGAUCGUAAAACUCUGUUAUUAGGGAAGAACAAAUGUGUAAGUAACUAUGCACGUCUUGACGGUACCUAAUCAGAAAGCCACGGCUAACUACGUG
rnacentral:rRNA from 1 species